GUGCUCACUUUGGCAGCACACACACUAAAACUGAGAACGAUGCAGAGAAGAUUAGCAUGGCCCCUGCGGGAGGAUGUCAUGUAAAUUUGUGAGGCAUUCCGUAUGUGG